AUGACCUUCAUCAUCAUCUUCAUCUGGACUCUCACAGCGUUUGCUCAAGAGAGUAGAGGACAGAUCAGCGUCACUCAGAGUCCCUCAACAGCAGCUCAACCAGGAGAAACAGUGAAGAUCAGCUGCAAAACUAGCACUGAUGUGCGCAGAUAUAGUGAUGGAGAUGAAGAUUUAUACUGGUACUUACAGAAACCUGGAGAAGCUCCUAAACUCCUGAUUUAUUAUGUAAAAAAGCUUAAGUCAGGAACUCCAUCUAGAUUCAGUGGCAGUGGAUCUAACAGUAAUUUCACUCUGACCAUCAGUGGAGUCCAGACUGAAGAUGCUGGACAUUAUUACUGUCAGAGUGCACACAUCAUCAGUAGUAGCUGGGUGUUCACACAGUGA